AGCGUCUCCAGCCAUGCAGCGUGUGUGAAGAGGCCCUAGGGUGUAAAGCACUUUCAGCAGGGAGGAAAAGCUGUAGGUUAAUACCCGUCAGUGUGACGUUACAUGCAGAAGAAGCACCGGCUAACUCUGUGCCAGCAGACGCGGUAAUACGGAGGGUGCAAGCGUUAAUUCGAAUUUCUGGGCGUAAAGGGCGUGUAGGCGGUGUGAUAAGCGUGUUGUGAAAGCCCCGGGCUCUACCUGGGAAUUGCAAUCCGAACUAUCAGGCUAGAGUGCAGCAGAGGGCAGUGGAAUUUCCGGUGUAGCGGUGAAAUGCGUAGAUAUCGGGAGGAACACCAGUGGCGAAGGCGACUGCCUGGGCUGACACUGACGCUGAGGUGCGAAAGCGUGGGUAGCAAACAGGAUUAGAUACCCUGGUAGUCCACGCCGUAAACGUUGAGAACUAGUCGUUGGGGCUAGUGAAGCGUCAGUGACGCAGCUAACGCGAUAAGUCUCCGCCUGGGGAGU
rnacentral:rRNA from 1 species